rnacentral:lncRNA from 1 species
GCAAGUGCCCUGCUUCACUGGACAAUGUAUUUCAAUCUCUCUGAAAUGACUGGCAAAUACAGCUGUAGUUCUGAGAUCCUGCCUUUUGCCAAUCAUUUGGUGACAAUUUCAAUAAUAUCCUCACAUUUAAAUGGAUAAUAUCUCACAAGGUCCCCAACAUACCCUCACUUACUCAUUCUUGCAGCACUUCACCCCACUCCCCCGUCCCAAAUCAAUUAGUACAGGACCUAAUCUCUUGAAUCUAUUUAGUCAUCCAUAGGGAUAUUGAGAUGAGAAAAAAAAAAAUGACAGCACAAUGGAGUGUUACAGAGCAAAGCCACCAUAAGAUAUAAGAACUGUUGUCAAGGUUGAGACUUUUUUCUAUUUGUUCUCAUGUAGGAAUGGAAAGGGGUAGUCACAUUCUUUGGCUCAAAGGUGUCUGUUUUAGUCAGUUUUUUCAUUGCUGUGACCAAAAUACCUGACAAAAGCAACACAGNCUUGCAGCACUUCUGGGGUGAGGGGGCAGGGUUUAGUUAAUCAUGUCCUGGAUUAGAGAACUUAGAUAUUAGUCAUCCAUAGGGAUAUUGAGAUGAGAAAAAACAAAAUGACAGCACAAUUGAAUGUUAUAGAGCAAAGCCACCAUAAGAUAUAAGAACUGUUUUCAAGGUUGAGACUUUUUUCUAUUUGUUCUCAUGUAGGAAUGGAAAGGGAUAGUCACAUUCUUUGGCUCAAAGGUGUCUGUUUUAGUCAGUUUUUUUCAUUGCUGUGACAAAAAUACCUGACAAAAGCAAUACAGUUUAUUGGGGGCUCCCAGUGUCAGAGAUCUCAGCCCAGAGAAGGCCAACUCCAAGGCUCUGGGCCCAGGUAAGGCAGAACAUCAUGGGUGACGAAAGUAGUUCAGGAAAUGACAACAAAGAAGUAGAGAGAGCUCCACUCACCAGGGACAAAAUAUAAACACCAGAGGCACACCCCAGUGACCUAUUUCCUCCAAUCACACCAUACCUGCCUAGAAUUACCAUCCAGUUAAUCUAUUCAAGUGAAUUAAUGCACUGAUUAGGCUAAG